AGAUAAAGAAACUUGAAUCACGGCUGAGCACAACUGAAUGCACUGAUGAAAAAGGUAAAUCUUAUUCCAGUAAUGAAGCCUGGAAAAAAGACCCAUGCACCACAUGUGAAUGCAAGGUUGGUCAAAUCACCUGUUAUGUAGAAUCCUGUCCACCCAAUGAUUGUGCUACACCAGUGAAGCUCAAAGGAGUUUGCUGUCCUGUUUGCUUAAAACAAACUCUUAGUAAGAAGCCCUAAAUCUUCUUUGCAGUUUUCACAUUAUCAAGUUAUUUGGAUAUCUUCUGAUGGCAAAUGCAGGUAACAUUACGCUUAAAACCACGGCAUCAAACCAAGACGUUACAGGACAGCAUUCAAGUGAUGAUGUAACAGUGUAAGAAAAAUGUGUAAUUUUUUAUGCUUGCCCACUGAAAAGCCACCAUGAGAAAGUAUUGAAAGGGAAUACACAAUACACAUCAGGAUAAUUUUGUGGUAAAAUUUCUCAGGUUCAACAGACUAAAAACUGGUGCUACCUUUUAAAUAAGCCUUUGUCAAGUGAUAUGAGGCUCUGAGAAUUAUUUUUGUGUUUAUCAUACACUGGUAGAAGAAAGGUAGGUGGCAUUUAAUUGGAUGAAAUAAGGAUGAAUCACAAGUUGGCUUUUAAAAUGCGAUACAUGUUCACUGGCUCUGUGCAGUCUAUGUGGCAAGCUAGACGUCCCCCCCAAAUCUGGACGGAGCUGGUCUAGGAUUCUCCUGAGAGUAACAUUUUACUUGACAACUUGGCGAGCUGGCUUUCUGUAGCAGUGCCAUUUCUGAUGCUUGGUGAAGCUGGAGAGCGAGCACGCGCUACCAGUUUCUCCUUCUCCUGAACAGUAUUGAAGUCUGUUUGCCCUAGUUACUUUUUAAUGUGUUGAUAGAAUACUUAGGAGAUGGUCAUAAAUGUUACACUGAAAACAUAUAUUAAUUCCUCAUUUGACCCUGCAACAAAGAAUUGCAAAAUAUAGAAAAAGUCUACCAGUACAUGUCUCUCAGCCAUAAUAGCAAAACUAGGGUGAUAAAAAACAUCUGAUUUAGUCAGUUUGCAGUUGGAGGUGAGGGAGAUCCUUUAUUGGCUGUAUAAAUUACUGCCCUGACUACUGCACGUUUUUAACUGUUGAAUCCAUACCCUUUUCUGGACCUUGCCUGUUUCCAUUGCAGAUUUUGUCCCUUGUUCUGCGAAAGAGCUUUGCUUCUAUUGGGCCAUUCCAUAUCACACAGCACGUCCCUAGCAGAAGAAAAUAAUGCUUCCAGCAAAUUGCCCUUAUCAGUCCUUAAUUUCUAGAAUAAUAUAUUCCAGAGCUUGUGUCUGUCUGAAAACAACAUUCCCUGAUCACAACCCCUUUCCGCUUGUUUUUGUUAUAUGGGAAGUCUGUGUAGUUACGCGGUAGUAAGGUUAUACCUACUUAGAGGUAGUUUUACCUUUUUCCACCAUGUGCUCCAUACUUGAGGCUUGCUGUUGAAAACACUUGUAUGAACGAAUUCCUGGUGAGACAUGCCUGUCUUGCAUACAUAGAGCUCCUACUUUCUUCAGCCCUUUCCAAGCUAGACAUCCAUUAUUCUACAAUCAUUGAGGAUCAAAUGUGCCCAGAAUUAUGCUACAAUAUGACUCUUUCCUACCAGGAGACUGAACGAUCUAGCAUGGUCCAGUGAAACUCUUGAGUACCUAAUUAUUAAUCAAAAGCAUCAGAGCCUUAACUAUGCACUAAAGUGCGUAGAUAUUUUCCCAGGCGAUGCUAAACUGUAGGCUCAUUUUGUGCAUGCUAUCCACAGAAAAUUUCUUUGCUUUCCCCAAUUAAUUAUGAAAAUUUACACAGCCACAGAUUGUUGGUGGGGGGAGAACAAAAGGGUUCAUUUCACCUUUCUGCAAGGCACAGAUGUGUAAGAACAAAUGAAUACACUAAACAGCUGUAUUCGAGUCCAGUGGCACCACAAAUUCAAACAAGAUUUUCAGGGUUAUCAGAUUUUGAAAGACAAAGUUCCUUUUGUCCGAACAUUGAAAGCCCAUACCCUGAAAAUCUUGUUGGUCUCUAAGGCGAACUCCGCAUGGGCCAAAAACAGCGGUAUGAAAACAGUGUGAACCAUUUUACACCAUUUUCACACCGCUGUUUUUGACCCAUGCGGAAUCCGCUUCAGGUAUUACUGGACUCAAAUCUCAACAUUCUACUGCAGACCAUCAUGGCGACCCUCUGAAAAUAAGUAUGCAAAAUGGUUAUUAAACUAUGAAGUACACUUUAUUGAGGUAUUACUUUGAAUAUUUCCUUGAUUCAUGAUAAAAAACAUCUCAUCAUGGCUUUUUUUCAGCACUCAGUGUAAUUUCUGAGUGGAUUUAUUUUUUUGCAAUAAUGAAGUUAUAAUUUAUCCCAUGUUUGCAACCACACUCUUUGCUGUCGGGGGCCUGUCUGCGUGAGUCAUUUUUCAGGAAUCUUUUUUAUCUUGAUUCACUGCCUAGAGUAGCCAUUUUUUUUUCGGGCCGAGACUUUCUGCCUUUCAGUAGAAUCAACAGUUUUUUCUGGCUUCAAGAUCAAUGAAUAGAAAAAGUUUCCUUUGUUGCAGCCACGCAUCUGUUAAGUUAUACCAUUCCUGCUUCUCUUGGUGUGAACUGUGUCCAUUUUUUUUCAUGGUACAGUGUAUGCCAAUCUAGUUCUGUCUUUAAAAUGUGAAAGUUAAAACAAAUUGGUGCUAUCCUGUUUUUUUUUUAAAGGUCUGCUUAAAUGCAGGGCCCUCUGAAGUGAAUUGGGGCAGGGGUUGGAAUUAUACUGAAAUAAGGUCUCUGGAUAGCAUUAAACAGUAUCUACUGAUUCAUUAUAAAACCUUAUUGCUAUAGAUGUGUUCCUGGCUAUAUUGUGGCAUGAUCUGAGAAAUAACUAUCAGACUGAAACCUUCCCGGACAGGGACUAGUUGUUCCUUUAUGUUAUUUGAAAAAAGUUUUGUUUUUAUUAUUUUUAAAAAAAUUUUGACUUAGUAUGUGUUUUUUCCCUUUUGUCUUUGUGUCCAAUUCAUGUUAACAGUUUCUCUCUUGUGAAUCUGUAUGCCCAGUUAAGAUUUUUAAGCACUGUUGAAUGUAUGUCUAUGUUAACUUGUUUGUUUACUUUUGUAUCUUCUAUAUUGCUUUCUUGUAACCAACAUGUAUUACUAAAUUCAGUGAAGGAAAGCUCUCAUACCUCAUUUGGCAGAUGUGUUUUGUUUCAUUGAUGGUGCUUAUUCAUAAAACAAACCUUAAUAAUGCAAUUCAGCAGUUUUUCCUGAUAUCCUUAGGUAUUUUUUGUUAGGUAAAACUGCAACUGAAGUCACUAACUUAAGAAUAUAGUCAUUAGGAUUUAAGAGUUAGUACCAUCUGUACAAAAGCCAACUUGUAUACUUUUUUGUAUGACAAACCAAGUGUGCAAUUCAAUUCCAUUAACAGUAUUUUGGCACAUGAACCUCCUGGGCUUGAUCAGUUUUUUUUGUUUGACAGAUGUCUUUCAAAAGCCAAGGAACAUAUGGAGUGGGGUGGCAACAGCAUCUGUAAGUGACUGCAUUAAACCAAAUUUUGUAAAGAACACAUACGAGGUGACAAAAAAUAUUGUUUAAGGUGAUUUUAUAAAGCAUCCUUGAGAUAGAACAACUAUGUCAGUGUACAGUUUACACUCUCUCUCCAUGUCUGUUCACCAAUACAGUUCUAUUUUGAUGAGACUCCAAAUCACGCCUUGAAUUUUGAGGUCAUUACCUCAUGUGCCUUCAAAUUUCGUAUACUUUCAGAAUAAGGGCAGAUACCUUAAUUGAACCAUAUUGCUAGCUAUAGAAAGCCAAUUAAUUUUUGUAAGUGAUUGAUCCCCUUUUAAUUCCAGUGCUGUAUUGUAAAGAAAUCUGCUCAGGUAUUUCAGUUAUUUUAUGAUAUCUUUGCCAUAUAAGCAUAAGCAGUUGGAAACAUACCUCUCGUUUCCCAUUUUUGAAAUAAAGCAGGUGUCUGAUUUGUUCUGGAACUGUGUAAAAUGAUAUACAUUUCAACAGUAACUUCUAUUUAAACAUCUGGUUGUAAAUUGGGCUUAGGAAAUCAAUCUUACUCCAAAAUAUAAAAGGAAGUCAAGCAUUCUGCAAUGCAUUUGCCAUUUUCUGCUGUUUCAAAGCUCAUUUAAUAAGACAAUGGUCAGUGACUGAAUGGCCUUUUCCUCAGUGUUUGUUCAGUUGCAAUUGUUCCAUAUUUAUUUACUUUUUAAAAAAAUCGCCUACCAAAAGUUAAACCUUGGUUAUUUUGUAUUGUAAUAAGUAAAUCUGCCAAAGAAUUUUUUGCACUGUUAUGAAUGCUUCUCAUUUACAAUAAACAGUCCACAUUUUUAAAA